GCCGGGGUGGCGAAAUUGGUAGACGCACGGGACUCAAAAUCCCGCGAUCUUCGGAUCAUGAGAGUUCGAGUCUCUCCCCCGGCA
rnacentral:tRNA from 1 species